rnacentral:rRNA from 1 species
AGCGCAGGCGGUUUGAUAAGUCUGAAGUAAAAGGCUGUGGCUUAACCAUAGUAUGCUUUGGAAACUGUCAAACUUGAGUGCAGAAGGGGAGAGUGGAAUUCCAUGUGUAGCGGUGAAAUGCGUAGAUAUAUGGAGGAACACCGGUGGCGAAAGCGGCUCUCUGGUCUGUAACUGACGCUGAGGCUCGAAAGCGUGGGAGCAAACA